UACAGAGGGUGCGAGCGUUGUCCGGAAUCACUGGGCGUAAAGGGCGCGUAGGCGGCUUGAUAAGGUUGCGGUGAAAGCCCGGGGCUCAACCUCGGGUCGGCCGUGGCAACUGUCGAGCUGGAGCACUGUAGAGGCAGGUGGAAUUCCGGGUGUAGCGGUGGAAUGCGUAGAGAUCCGGAAGAACACCGGUGGCGAAGGCGGCCUGCUGGGCAGUGGCUGACGCUGAGGCGCGAAAGCGUGGGGAGCGAUCCGG
rnacentral:rRNA from 1 species